GACAGAGGAGCCAAGCGUUGUCCGGACUGACUGGGCGUAAAGCGCACGUAGGCGGCGCUGCGCGUGGGGUGUGAAAGCUCUUGGCUUAACUGAGAGAGGCCAUCCCAUACGGCAGUGCUCGAGCGGUGCAGAGGUCCGCGGAAUUGCCGGUGUAGUGGUGAAAUGCGCAGAUAUCAGGAAGAACACCCGUGGCGAAGGCGGCUCUCUGGGACGGUACUGACGCUGAGACGCGAAAGCGUGGGGAGCGAACAGG
rnacentral:rRNA from 1 species